CCCCUGAACGCUAUUUAGGAGCAAAAAAGUUUAAACUAGACAUUUUGGAUUUUUAAAUAGCGGGCAGAUGAUGUGUGGUUUUGCAACGUAAUAGGUGAUUUCCAUUUACUGCGAACACUCAAAGGAAAGUGCUAUCAACCCUCUUCUGCAUACUUUGUCAGGAUUCUGGACUUGUUAUGUUGUAUUUUGGCCACUGGAGACCCCCAUUGUUCCCUCAUGCUGUCUUACGGGGAGGUCUAUUAAUUGGGUUAUUACUGCCAUCUGUAGCUCAUUUCUCUGUGUAUAUUUAAGUUGCCCUGUUCCUCAGUUUCCUUGUUUGGUGUUUAGUGCUGCUAGGCCAGCCCUUCAUGGCUCACUUAAGUAUCCCUGUUUUUUUCCAUCGCUUGUGGAAUCACACUAAAAUUUAUGCACCAGAAAGAGGCAAAACGUCAUUGACGACACUCACUUCUGCUGCAGGUCGAGAAGACUCUGUUCGGCUCUCUGCAGGCCAUCCAGGUCUUUCAUCAUCUUGCUCAUAUGGUCCCUCGAGUUGCGGUUCUGGAUGUAGGCAAACCAGCAGCCUGCUAUACCAAUUAUGAUGGACACCACUAGUACCAAGUCCUUUAAGUGGCUGUUCCUGCCCGCUGUUAAAAAUAACAAGAAUCAAUAGAUCAGUUGAACGUUUAGUGAGCAUCUGUUUUUUUUGUUUUUUUUUUUAAAUGAUGUGCAGGGUUGUUUUUUUCAACAUUUUUCAAUGGAACUGAUUAAGAAACAUGAAUCUUAAAUUAUUAACUGUGUAUGUUUCUCAAUGGACUGAUCACACUGGUUGAUUUAAUGCUAUACUUUGAAUGUUAAUCAUUAGCACAAUUUAGUAGGAGUUAUCUUGAAGCAAUUUACAUUUGAACUGAGUAUUUGGAUUGACAAAAGGUUUUCAUGGCGAAUUAAAGGGAAGAAUGUUUAAUGUCAGUGUAAUUAGAAAAAGUAUCCCUGAAAGCUGUCCCUUUGGCACAGUGCCUGCAAUUUUAGUACGAAAUUUCUAGAAAACAUGCUGGGUUUUUUUUUUUGUAAUUAGGUGUUUCUGGGUCAAAUAUUUAGUUAAGUGUCAAUCAACCAUGUCUAAUAUUUCUAGAGAAGGCAUUAAAAUUGGCCCCAAAAAGUCUGCAUUUUUUCAUGCUAAAUUGUAAUGGAUUAACAGAUUUUAAUUGAGCAUUAAAAUCCACUAAAAUCAGUCAACCGAGGCUACCUCUACAUUAAUCUGGAUAAAUUUGAAAACGCAUAUUUUUCUCUAGAUUUUGGCCUUCUGUGUCACGAACCUCGAAUCGGCACUGAAGCAGGAGCGGGGGGCAGGUGUAGCGCGUCGUAUCGGGAAGUACAAGAAACGUAGUCGUAAGACAGGCAAAGGUCAAGCGAUCGGACGAACAACAUAAACGGGGUCAGGCAGUGAAUGUAGUCGAAACCGGAAACAAGGGUCGAGGAUCUUGGGAAUUUGAGUUCUGAUCUGACUGAGCUGUGACAUUCUGCCUGACAGAAAUGACGCAGGCCAAAGGCUUCUUACAUUUCAUAAGCUGUAAGAUUUUAUCAGACGUUUCGGUGUGGAUGAGCAAUUUUUGGAAAAUGUUAGAAGAUUCCAGUGUACACAGAGAGCAUGUUAAAACAAGUAUGCAGUUUUCAGAUCUAUCUGGAUUAACGUGGUCAUAGCCUGAGAAAUGCCCACAAUAAUAAUGGACCAAAAAUAUUUAGCAACUAAGCUAGCUAGCACUAAUGCUUUCACUAUCAUUCAGAAAUAUCAGGUGGCUAAAUUAGCUUCUUAAUUAAGUAACUUGGUUAGGUAUUACCCAAUUUGAAAUUGCUUCACAGAUUGAGAAACCUCUACAUACCCAUGUUUGAUGAGCACAAACACUUCUGCAGUUUUGCAACAAGUAAAGUUUUAGUACAUAUGCAGUGACUCGUUUUUAGUAGUACAUCAACCACUACUAUUUAAUACAUCAUACGUGAACAUUCAUUCUCCCUCAGACUUGAGUUAAAUUGCAAGAACCAGAAUGGUAGGUUGUGACUCAAUAAGGCACUUGUCUCCACAUGAAAAAGCUAUAUAUAUAUAUA